AAAAUUCACCUGCAAAAAUUCAACUGCAAAAGUGAUGAACUUAAAUGACCCAAGCCAGAGCAAUCAGCACUAGAUCGAGUCGAGCGGCUCUCAGCCAAUUAAAUUACGCUGUUUGAUCACAUGACACCGUUAGCCAGCAGUGUGUCUCCUGAAAAGACAGCUGUUUAGAGAGGCAGUUUUGAAUUUAGGAGCGGCAAGAUGGCAGCGGCAAACCCUGGCGGUUCUCCGGAUCUUCUCCUACAUCAUAUUCUUCAGAGACUGCGUUCACGUUUAGAACAUUGUCUUGAACACCUUCCCCUGGAUCUGGACUUUUUAGAUUUCAUUUGCACCCAGGAACUAGUUUUUCUACAAGCUUUGUCCGGUCAAGUUGAGGUUUGCCCUGUCCUCUUAGAUGCAUUAUGUAGUUUACAUACUCUGAUAAACAGAGAAAAGGAUAAAAUGACUCUACAUAGUGCUGUCAUUCACUUUGAGUGGGGACCUACUGGGCGACUAAGAAUGGCUCUUUCCCCCUAUCAUCUUAACAGCCUUCUGGAACUGAACUUGUCCAUCCCAGCCAUUGCUAAAAUUUUGGGAAUGUCCAGAAGCACAGUAUUCCGACGCAUGAAUGAGUUCAAUCUUUCAGUCAAAGCACUCUAUA